rnacentral:rRNA from 1 species
AGCGAACGCUGGCGGCAGGCCUAACACAUGCAAGUCGAACGAACCUUUCGGGGUUAGUGGCGGACGGGUGAGUAACACGUGGGAACGUGCCUUUAGGUUCGGAAUAACUCAGGGAAACUUGUGCUAAUACCGAAUGUGCCCUUCGGGGGAAAGAUUUAUCGCCUUUAGAGCGGCCCGCGUCUGAUUAGCUAGUUGGUUGAGGUAAUGGCUCACCAAGGCGACGAUCAGUAGCUGGUCUGAGAGGAUGAUCAGCCACAUUGGGACUGAGACACGGCCCAAACUCCUACGGGAGGCAGCAGUGGUGAAUCUUGCGCAAUGGGCGAAAGCCUGACGCAGCCAUGCCGCGUGAAUGAUGAAGGUCUUAGGAUUGUAAAAUUCUUUCACCGGGGACGAUAAUGACGGUACCCGGAGAAGAAGCCCCGGCUAACUUCGU